UUCGAGUGGCGGACGGGUGAGUAACGCGUGGGUAACCUGCCUUACACAGGGGGAUAACACCUGGAAACAGGUGCUAAUACCGCAUAAGCGCACAGGGCCGCAUGGCCCGGUGUGAAAAACUCCGGUGGUGUAAGAUGGACCCGCGUCUGAUUAGCUUGUUGGCGGGGUAGAGGGCCCCACCAAGGCGACGAUCAGUAGCCGGCCUGAGAGGGUGGACGGCCACAUUGGGACUGAGACACGGCCCAAACUCCUACGGAAGGCAGCAG
rnacentral:rRNA from 1 species